GAUGAACGCUGGCGGCGUGCCUAACACAUGCAAGUCGAGCGAUUUCCUUCGGAAGAGAGCGGCGGACGGGUGAGUAACGCGUGGGUAACCUGCCCUGUACACACGGAUAACAUACCGAAAGGUAUGCUAAUACGAGAUAAUAUACUUUUAUCACAUGGUGGAAGUAUCAAAGCUUUUGCGGUACAGGAUGGACCCGCGUCUGAUUAGCUAGUUGGUAAGGUAAUGGCUUACCAAGGCGACGAUCAGUAGCCGACCUGAGAGGGUGAUCGGCCACAUUGGAACUGAGACACGGUCCAAACUCCUAUGGGAGGCAGCAGUGGGGAAUAUUGCACAAUGGGCGAAAGCCUGAUGCAGCAACGCCGCGUGAGCAAUGAAGGCCUUCGGGUCGUAAAGCUCUGUCCUCAAGGAAGAUAAUGACGGUACUUGAGGAGGAAGCCCCGGCUAACUACGUGCCAGCAGCCGCCGUAA
rnacentral:rRNA from 1 species